rnacentral:tRNA from 1 species
GCGAGUGUGGCGGAAUUGGUAGACGCACCAGACUUAGGAUCUGGCGUUGUGAAACGUGGGAGUUCGAGUCUCCCCACUCGCACCA